UACGGAAGGCAGCAGUGGGGAAUAUUGCACAAUGGGCGCAAGCCUGAUGCAGCCAUGCCGCGUGUAUGAAAAAGGCCUUCGGGUUGUAAAGUACUUUCAGUCGUGAGGAAGGUGUUAAGGUUAAUAACCUUAGCAAUUGACGUUAGCGACAGAAGAAGCACCGGCUAACUCCGUGCCAGCAGCCGCGGUAAUACGGAGGGUGCGAGCGUUAAUCGGAAUUACUGGGCGUAAAGGGCACGCAGGCGGUUAAUUAAGUUGGAUGUGAAAUCCCCGGGCUUAACCUGGGAAUGGCAUUCAAGACUGGUUAGCUAGAGUCUUGUAGAGGGGGUAGAAUUCCAUGUGUAGCGGUGAAAUGCGUAGAGAUGUGGAGGAAUACCGGUGGCGAAGGCGGCCCCUGGACAAAGACUGACGCUCAUGUGCGAAAGCUGGGGAGCAAACAGGGAUUAGAUACC
rnacentral:rRNA from 1 species